AUUGAACGCUGGCGGCAUGCUUUACACAUGCAAGUCGAGCGAUUGGCGGACGGGUGAGUAAUAUAUUGGAACGUGCCCAGUAGCGGGGGAUAACUACUCGAAAGCGUGGCUAAUACCGCAUACUAUCUGAGGGGCCGAUAUCGGAUUAGCUAGUUGGUGGGGUAAAGGCUCACAAAGGCAACGAUCCAUAGCUGGUUUGAGAGGACGACCAGCCACACUGGUAAUGUGACACGGCCCAGUCUCCUACGGGAGGGAGCAGUGGGGAAUGUUGAACAAUGGGGGAAAGCCUGAUGCAGCAAUCCCGCGUGUAUGAGAAGGCCUUCGGGGUGUAUAGUACUUUUGGCAGGGAGGCGGUAACUGCAGAAUAAGCACCGGCUAACUCCGUGCCAGCAGCCGCGGUAAUUC
rnacentral:rRNA from 1 species